AGAGUUUGAUCAUGGCUCAGAGUGAACGCUGGCGGCAUGCCUAACACAUGCAAGUCGAACGGUAACAGGCCCGCAAGGGUGCUGACGAGUGGCGGACGGGUGAGGAAUACAUCGGAAUUUGCCCAGUCGUGGGGGAUAACGUAGGGAAACUUACGCUAAUACCGCAUACGACCGAGAGGUGAAAGCGGGGGAUCAGCAAUGACCUCGCGCGAGUGGAUGAGCCGAUGUCGGAUUAGCUAGUUGGUAGGGUAAAGGCCUACCAAGGCGACGAUCCGUAGCUGGUCUGAGAGGAUGAUCAGCCACACUGGGACUGAGACACGGCCCAGACUCCUACGGGAGGCAGCAGUGGGGAAUAUUGGACAAUGGGGGCAACCCUGAUCCAGCAAUGCCGCGUGUGUGAAGAAGGCCUUCGGGUUGUAAAGCACUUUUAUCCGGAACGAAACGCGCUUGGUGAAUAGCCAGGUGAACUGACGGUACCGGAGGAAUAAGCACCGGCUAACUUCGUGCCAGCAGCCGCGGUAAUACGAAGGGUGCAAGCGUUACUCGGAAUUACUGGGCGUAAAGCGUGCGUAGGUGGUUUGUUAAGUCCGUUGUGAAAGCCCAGGGCUCAACCUGGGAAUGGCAGUGGAUACUGGCGAGCUAGAGUGCGGUAGAGGGUAGUGGAAUUCCCGGUGUAGCAGUGAAAUGCGUAGAGAUGUGGCGGAACACCGAUGGCGAAGGCAGCCCCCUGGGCUGAGAUUGACGCUCAGGCACGAAAGCGUGGGGAGCAAACAGGAUUAGAUACCCUAGUAGUCC
rnacentral:rRNA from 1 species